rnacentral:rRNA from 1 species
GACGAACGCUAGCGGCGUGCCUAAGAAAUGCAAGUCGAGCGAAGAUGAGGAGCUUGCUCCGAAGUCUUAGCGGCGAACGGUCGCGUAACACGUAAGCAACCUGCCCCAAAGCGGGGGAUAGCCUUCCGAAAGGAAGAUUAAUACCGCAUGUGGAUACUUGAUUGCAUGUUUGAGUAUCUAAAGCAGCGAUGCACUUUGGGAUGGGCUUGCGGCCUAUCAGCUAGUUGGUGUGGGUAACGGCCCACCAAGGCGACGACGGGUAGCUGGUCUGAGAGGAUGGUCAGCCGGACUGGGACUGAGAUACGGCCCAGACACCUACGGGAGGCUG